rnacentral:rRNA from 1 species
GGAAGUAAAAAGUGUAACAAGGUCUCCGUUGGUGAACCAGCGGAGGGAUCAUUAG